UCAAUCUGUAGUAAAUUUUAACUUUGAUUAUGUACAGGUGGAGGAUGAUAAAGACAAGAUUAUUGAUCAGUUACAGGAAAGAGUUAUAGAACUUGAAUUGGAAAAUAAAAAGAUGAUAGCUGACAAGGAUGUUAUCAUUGAACAAUUACAACAGACAAUUGCAGAAACUGAAAUAAAAUAUGAAAAUAUGAUGGAAGAUCUAAAGAAUGCUAUGAAACUCCAAGAAAAUGAAUUAACACAAUUAAAGAUUCAAAUAUCAAAGAAAAAAGAUGGUAUUUCCUGAUGUCUAAGAUUUUGGCAUAAAUAUGAGGCUAAGAUCACUAUGGAAACAGAAAUGUGCAAUGGUUGAAUGAAACAGUUCAGUGGUAGUUACAAAUAUAUAUAAAGUGUAGUACAGCUUGUGUAUUUUAGAUAGCAGAAAGUAAUCUCUGGUCAUAUACUACACUUAACCUGAUUAAAAAAAAAAACCUGAUUGAAACAUAGUCUUUGUUAACAGUAUAGUGCCAGGCAGUCUGCUCAUCUAUGUAGUCUGAUCAGGCUCUAUACUGCCGGUGGCUCUAUUUUUCAUUAUGAUACUGAAAUCCCUUAUACUUUGAAUGGAAUGUUCCAAAUAAAUCCCCUAGACUUGGAAUGGACUGUUCCAAAUUCAAAGCAGGGCAAAUCCAUUACAUAAAGUAAGAAUGCUUAGUAUUGAAAUACAACCAUUUUAUGUUGUAACAUAAUAUUCUGAUAAGUUAGUUUAGACAUAUAAAAAAACACGACAACAAACAAGUACAGAAGCUUUUUUAGUUAAGUGUAAUAUUGUUGUUAAAGUUAAAAAUCAUAAAUAUUUAAUUAUGUUUUUUAUAAAUGAUUCAAAAUUUUAUAUGAUAUAAGAAUUAAAAAAAAAACGAAUCAAUUUUUUCUCUUAUAAAUUCUGUCCAUUAUGUAGGCUCGUAAUCAUGUUUAUUUAUUACUACAUAGAUUGAUACUGUUGUUUAUUAUUGAAUUGUUAUUGUAUUGUUGAAUGAUAUGUUAAAAUUUAAAUGUAUAACUAAUAAUAAUUGAUCUCACUAAUUGUCAUAAGUAUAUCAAAAUCCAUUGCUCUUUAUUUUAUAUUCAUAUUGUCAGUCAAUUUGUUUUUAAAUUUGUUAAAAAAAUAGCUCUCACUCUGUUAGUGAAAGAGUAGAAAUAGGGUAAAUAAUUCUUUUAUAUCAUGUAUAUAAUAUGUUAAGAGUGUUAACUGAUUGCAUAUUCAUUAAUUUUUAUGUUCGGAAUACAAUUCAACUUUUUUUAAGAAACAAUUAACAACGAAAUGUGAAUAAUGUUUCUAAAGGUCAAAUAUGAAAUUGAAUUGUUGAAGAUCCAGGAUUUGUUUAAUAUCAGAUUGGUAUAAACUUUGUUUUAUGGUACCCUAUGAAUUACUGAGUUUUAUUAGUAUUUUAAUUGCUCACUGCAUGUCACCUGCAAAGUGAGUGAUUAAGCAUGCCUGUUUCCUGCACUUCAAAAAAAACAGUCAACUGUUUUAAAAUUAAUAUGCAUAAUAUAAACAGGAGCUUUGUUUUUUUUUAAGAAUAUAAAAUAUAUUUACCUCCAAGUGAGAAAAUAUCCACAUUAUUAAUGUAGCUAUGCACUCAUAAAACUGGCAAUUUUCUUACUUCUCAGUAAAAUAUUUAUAUUCACUCGAAAUCAAAUAUCCUCAAUGUAAGUAUAAAAUGUCAAUAAUUUUCUUUAGCAUUGCCAAUAAAGUCAUGUUAAUUUCAGUAAAACUUUUGAUAAAUAUUAUAAAAGAUCUGUUUUAUUAUUUUUUGUUAUGGAUAUACACAUAUUUUAUUUCUUUAUUUUUGUUAUUACUUUUUUAGCUCGACUAUUCGAUAAGAAUAAGUAGAGCUAUUGCAGUCACCCGAGCGUCGGCGUCGGCGUAACCACUUAUGUUAAAGUUUUUGUAAUAGUUCAAAUAUUUUCAAAGUCCAUUGACAUAUGGCUUUGAAACUUUGCACACUUGUUCACCAUCAUGACCCCAACCUGUAGACAGGAGGAGGUAAGUCUAUCAAGCAUUUUGACAGAAUUAUGCCCCUUUUUCGAAUUAGAAUUUACGUUAAAGUUUUUGUAAUACAGUAGAACUUCGGUAAGUCGAAGUUGAAGGGACUUGGGUAAAAACUUCGACACAUCGGGACUUCGACUCAUGAAUCGCUCUCAAAUCCAUGACAAAAUUUCGACCUGUGACUAGUGCUAAUCAUAAGAUCUAUAACGAAACUUUUUUCAUGUUUUUCAAUCAUUAAUCAGAUAUUUUACAAUGAUAAAUAUAGCAUGUUA